rnacentral:rRNA from 1 species
AGAGUUUGAUCAUGGCUCAGAUUGAACGCUGGCGGCAGGCUUAACACAUGCAAGUCGAGCGGAAACGAGAAUAGCUUGCUAUUCGGCGUCGAGCGGCGGACGGGUGAGUAAUGCUUGGGAAUAUGCCUUUGAGUGGGGGACAACAGUUGGAAACGACUGCUAAUACCGCAUAACGUCUACGGACCAAAGGGGGGGAUCUUCGGACCUCUCGCUCAUUGAUUAGCCCAAGUGAGAUUAGCUAGUUGGUAAGGUAAUGGCUUACCAAGGCGACGAUCUCUAGCUGGUUUGAGAGGAUGAUCAGCCACACUGGGACUGAGACACGGCCCAGACUCCUACGGGAGGCAGCAGUGGGGAAUAUUGCACAAUGGGCGAAAGCCUGAUGCAGCCAUGCCGCGUGUGUGAAGAAGGCCUUCGGGUUGUAAAGCACUUUCAGCGAGGAGGAAAGGGUGUUGUUUAAUACGCAACAUCUGUGACGUUACUCGCAGAAGAAGCACCGGCUAACUUCGUGCCAGCAGCCGCGGUAAUACGAGGGGUGCAAGCGUUAAUCGGAAUUACUGGGCGUAAAGCGUGCGUAGGUGGUUUGUUAAGCAAGAUGUGAAAGCCCCGGGCUCAACCUGGGAACUGCAUUUUGAACUGGCAAACUAGAGUAUUGUAGAGGGUAGUGGAAUUUCCAGUGUAGCGGUGAAAUGCGUAGAGAUUGGAAGGAACAUCAGUGGCGAAGGCGGCUACCUGGACAAAUACUGACACUGAGGCACGAAAGCGUGGGGAGCAAACAGGAUUAGAUACCCUGGUAGUCCACGCCGUAAACGAUGUCAACUAGCCGUCUGUGACCUUGAGUCGUGGGUGGCGCAGCUAACGCACUAAGUUGACCGCCUGGGGAGUACGGCCGCAAGGUUAAAACUCAAAUGAAUUGACGGGGGCC